rnacentral:rRNA from 1 species
AGAGCGUAGAGUGAAUGCCUUGGCAUUGGGAGCCGACGAAGGACGUGGUUAACUGCGAAAAGCUACGGGGAGUCGUAAGCAGACAUUGAUCCGUAGAUGUCCGAAUGGAGCAAUCCGCAUGGAGUUAGUCUAUGCAUCCAUAAGUGAAUUCAUAGCUUAUGGAGGGGAACCGCCUGAACUGAAACAUCUAAGUAGGGCGAGGAAGAGAAAUCAAACGAGAUUUCGUAAGUAGUGGCGAGCGAACGCGAAAGAGGCUAAACCAAGAGAAGAAAUUCUUUUGGGGUUACGGACUGCGAUAUGUAUCUGAGGACUUAGCAGAAUGGUAUGGGAAAGCCAACCAGAGAAUGUGAUAGUCAUGUAUGCGAAAAGGAAUCAGAGCUAGCAGGAUCCAAAGUACCGCGGGACACGAGGAAUCCCGUGGGAAGUCGGGGGGACCACCCUCCAAGCCUAAAUACUACCCAAUGACCGAUAGCGAAAAGUACUGUGAAGGAACGGUGAAAAGAACCCCGGGAGGGGAGUGAAAAGAACCUGAAACUCUAUGCUUACAAGCACAUAGAGCACGUCAAAGUGUGAUAUGGUACCUUUUGUAGAAUGGUCCGGCGAGUUAUUGUAUGCAGCAAGGUUAAGGUCUUCAGGACUGAAGCCGAAGCGAGAGCGAGUCUGACAAGGGCGAUAAGUUGCAUGCAAUAGACCCGAAACCGGGUGACCUAGCCAUGUUCAGGUUGAAGUGGAGGUAAAGCUCCAUGGAGGACCGAACCGACCUCCGUUGAAAAGGCGGCGGAUGAAAUGUGGCUAGCGGAGAAAUUCCAAUCGAACCCGGAAAUAGCUGGUUCUCCCCGAAAUAGCUUUAGGGCUAGCGUUGUAUUAGAUUUCUGGGGGUAAAGCACUGAAUAGGCUAGGGGCCGAGAGGUUACUGAACCUUAUCAAACUAAGAAUACCAGAAAAUUGAUGUACAGCAGUCAGACUAUGUGAGAUAAGUCUCAUAGUCAAAAGGGAAACAGCCCAGACCCACAGCUAAGGUCCCAAAACAGAUUUAAGUGGAAAAGGAUGUGGGAUUGCCCAGACAACCAGGAUGUUGGCUUAGAAGCAGCCACACAUUAAAAGAGUGCGUAAUAGCUCACUGGUCGAGUGAUCCUGCGCCGAAAAUUCAACGGGGCUAAAAUUUGUACCGAAGCUUGGGCUUGAUACAUUCGUAUCAGGGGUAGGGGAGCGUCAUGUAUGAGGUGAAGUCGUAGCGAAAGCGGCGGUGGAUUGUACAUGAGAGAGAAUGCCGGAAUGAGUAGCGAGAAUUAUGUGAGAAUCAUAAUGGCCGAAAAUCUAAGGUUUCCUGAGGAAGGUUCGUCCGCUCAGGGUAAGCCGGGAGCUAAGGUGAGGCGGAAACGCGUAGCCGAUGCACAUACGGUAGAGAUUCCGUAGCCUCCGAAAAGUAAAGCACAGGGACGCUUCAGAAGUGUUACGCCGGGCGAUGGUUGCCCCGGUUGUAAAGGACACAAUUGAGUGGAAGGUAACAUGGAUGGAGACAAGAAAAGCUGUGUGUAUCUGGAAGGAGCCCGUACCGCAAACCGACACAGGUAGAUAGGAAGAAGAUUCUAAGGCCAGCGGGAGAAGGGUUGUUAAGGAACUCGGCAAGUUGACCCCGUAACUUCGGGAGAAGGGGUGCUUACGAAGGUAAGCCGCAGAGAAUAGGCCCAAGCGACUGUUUAGCAAAAACACAGCUCUAUGCUAAAUCGAAAGAUGACGUAUAUGGGGUGACACCUGCCCGGUGCUGGAAGGUUAAGAGGAGAUGUGAGAGCAUUGAAUUGAAGCCCCAGUAAACGGCGGCCGUAACUAUAACGGUCCUAAGGUAGCGAAAUUCCUUGUCAGGUAAGUUCUGACCCGCACGAAUGGCGUAAUGAUUUGGGCACUGUCUCAACAGCCCGCCCGGCGAAAUUGUAGUACCGGUGAAGAUGCCGGUUACCCGCGACUAGACGGAAAGACCCCAUGGAGCUUCACUGUAGCUUAAUAUUGAAUUUUGGUAUUUCAUGUACAGGAUAGGUGGGAGACUGGGAAAUACAGGCGUCAGCUUGUAUGGAGUCACUGUUGGGAUACCACUCUUGAGGUGCUGAAAUUCUAACCUGCGUCUUUGAAUCAAGACGGGGGACAUUGUUAGGUGGGCAGUUUGACUGGGGCGGUCGCCUCCAAAAGAGUAACGGAGGCGCUCAAAGGUUCGUUCAGCACGGACGGAAAUCGUGCACUGAGUGUAAACGCAUAAACGAGCCUAACUGCGAGAAUGACGGUUCGAGCAGUAACGAAAGUUGGAGUUAGUGAUCCGGCGGUAUGUGAAUGGAAAUGCCGUCGCUCAACGGAUAAAAGCUACCCUGGGGAUAACAGGCUGAUCUCCCCCAAGAGUCCACAUCGACGGGGAGGUUUGGCACCUCGAUGUCGGCUCAUCGCAUCCUGGGGCUGAAUUCGGUCCCAAGGGUUUGGCUGUUCGCCAAUUAAAGCGGUACGCGAGCUGGGUUCAGAACGUCGUGAGACAGUUCGGUCCCUAUCUGUUGCGGGCGCAGGAAUAUUGAGAGGAGCUGUCCUUAGUACGAGAGGACCGGGAUGGACGUACCGCUGGUGCACCAGUUGUUCUGCCAAGGGCAUAGCUGGGUAGCUAAGUACGGACGAGAUAAACGCUGAAGGCAUCUAAGCGUGAAACUCCCCUCGAGAUAAGUGUUCCCAUCCUUCGGGAGUAAGGCCCCUUGU